GUUGUUGUUGUUGAGUAGCUACAGAAUUCAGAAGCAGAAUUCUGACAAUGACAGGUAAAAGAAAACAAUAGUUAAUUUCUGAAAUUGUAACUGGAGAUGUUGGGGAAGUGAUCCAGAUUAGCGGAGCAGGACAGGCAGCACGCAGACAAGAUCCCGAAGCAAAGGAAAAAUAAUGUCAUGAGCAAAAAAGUUAACAUGAGGAAUCAACAAACUACAGCCUGAGUUUGAGUGUAGCUUAAGUAACAAAUUGGUGAACAGAAUGAUCUGGCAGAGAGUGGAGUGAAGCGCUGCCGUUGAUAAACUGCAGAGUCUUGAUUGGUGGAGGGGAUUCAGGUGUGCAGGGGAUUGCAGCAGGAGGAGGAUAAUUGGAGCGCCACGCCCAGCCAGACACAGACACAAAGAGACAGAUCACAGACAGGGGACUGAUAAUCAGCACAAGGGAGGGGAGAAAGGCUGAAAACAAUAGUAAAGAGGGAGAGCACAUGACACAUUGUACCUUCAAUGGUAGACAAUAUAAACUCUGUCCUGAUGCAAACUCCAAUAAAAAGAUAAAACUCAUUCAUCACAAACCCCAUGGAACAGCACUGGACUGUGGGGCGAUUUGAACUGCAGGUCACUUGACUCCAAAGCUUUUCCCCCAAUCCACUAAUUCCCUCUGCAUCAGUGUAAAAGAAGGAGCUGAGAAACAAUGAGUGAAAUUUUCAGAGCCUCACAAACACUUCUAAAUUAGUCUUGGUACUAUCACAAUUAACACAAUUAAAUCCUAAUCAGUAAUUAUUUUCUUCAUUCAGGACUUCAGUGUGCAUGUGCUAUGGGGAAAAAGGCAACACAAGCUCUGGGCCUUAUGAACGUGUUGAACAACUAAUGUCAUGACAAUCACCUGGUUUCAAUAUGAGACAUCUUGUCUUGAAAUUUGUCGAUCGCUUUUCAAGAUACUGUAGCUUGUUGUGGUCCAAAUGUGGGUCAGAGGGAACACUUUUCCUGACAGGGGCACUACAUGAAAGGUCUGGAGGUCUUGGAAUUCUUUAGAACCUAUACUGAAUUUCACAGCAAUCUGACCACUGUUGAUAUAAUCCUGCUCUGGACCAACAGUCAGAGGGAUUGGCCAACAUACUCAGGUACUUGGAAGUUGUUAAUAUUAUGAACAUUAGGGUUUGUGUUUUUUUUUUUUUACCACAAACACCUCUAGAUCUUUCUUUUGGGCACUAGAGUUACACAGACAUUCAAUGUAAGAACUUGCUGGUACCCAUCCUCAGACUCCUGACUGUGCUGCCUCCUAAUAGUCCAUGCACCUCAUUCAGAUGUCCUGAAAAUGCCUGAAUAUUACUAAUAUAUUUAGCCCAAGUGCCGACCUGAGCUGGGUGUAUUUGCUUAAUCCUGUUAAUCUCGUUGAUGGCGCUGCAGGGAGGGACCCAGAGGUGCUGUGGGAGACCCUGAUUGGGUGUGAUGUCAUCUGUUUUUGCUGCUUAACUGGGCUUUGCCUUUAAGUGCUUUCCAGUAUGUUUGGAGAUCAAAAGCCACACUCACCAUAGCAGCUUUAAUCACCUCCUCUGCUAGGGGCAGGUGUGUGUGUCAGUGUGUGUGGUAUUGGUUGUGUGGUACGGAUAUGCAAAGGGUUGCUGGCAUUUCCAAAGAUAGCCAGGCUGACAUUUCUAUUGACUUUGAUGUUGAUAAUCCCUCACAAGUUCCCCAAAGCUAACUGAUAUUUUAUGUGUGCAUGUGUGUAAGUGUGUCUGUGUGUGCACAGCCUCAAAGUCUGUGUAUUCAGUAGCAGGUUGUUGGGUCAGAAUCAACGUUAUCAGUGUUUACCUAUGAAAAUGUUCCAGAUUGUAAAGUAAACAGUUUUUUUUACCCCCAGAAUCAAAUCCAGAGUAAGAUCAAGACAUUUUUUUUUUUAUUUACCUUCUUUGAUCCUCAUGAUUUCCCUGCAGACAAAUCACAGUUAAAGGGCAUGACAUCACAGUUUAAAGGGCACUUUAAUGCUGUGUUUAUUUAUGGUCAGACGUGGGAUGCUAAACACUUCAUUAGGAUGUAUUUAAGCUGUCAUGGUGGAAACAUGUAAAAGUAAUAUUGUUUACUUUUGACUAUGUGGGCGUGUUUGACAUCACACUGGGAACUGUCAUUUGACAGUCCUGACCUGACGAGGAAAUGUGACUUAAAGCGUUGUUUUGAUUUAGUGUUCCUGGUAUAGCAAUUCAUAAUCCCCUUUAAUCAACCAGAUGAUGUUCAGAGCGAAUAGUCACUUUGUCUUCUUUGCUGCCUCUUCUAUUUUUUCACACCUGUUGCAAGAUUGUCUAAAAGGCAGGCGAUCAUGCUCACUGAGAGUAAUGACACUUAGGUUAGAAAAUUGUAAAUGUGCAGGUCACAACAUCUAACAAUGCUCAACCUGUUGAGCGCUGAUUUUUUGCCCCCAUGAAGAGCUGCGUUCGUCUAUGUCAGAGGUUAAUGGAACUGUGUCAUUAGCCCCGAAGGAGAGUGAGGGGCCAAAGACUUGAGGUCCAUGAGUGCCAGACACACACACACACACACACACACACACACACACACACACACACACACACACACACACACACACACACACACACACACACACACACACACACACACACACACACACACGAUCUUCUGACAGGAUCUAAUGACAGCCUGUUAGGUAAAUACACAGUCGUCUACUCCAUCCUCCAUUAUCUCUCGAUCACUGAAGAUGCAGCUGUGCUAGAGCAGGAAGACUGCACACUGGAUUGCUAGCUCUCUGUACCCAGGGACAUGUAUGGUGCAGUGGUGGAUCGAGACUUUGGCCAAGACUCUAUUUGCAACAUUCACAUUGUCCUGAGAAAUAAUGUAAACACACUGGGCAAAGGGGAGCAGCAAGGCAGUAUACAUGCACAAACAAUUCCUGAAGACUGUGGGGCUAAGUGAAGUUAUUAAAUGUUCCAUUUCUUUUUGACGGAGCCACUUCUGUGUUUCGUACAUAUUUUCUCAAUCUCUGUUUCAGUCUAUUUUGUAACUCCACGCUCUGUACACUAAUUUGAUUGUUGUAUGGCUACAAAUGUGAUUGAUUUUAUAUUUUUCUCAUUUUAUUCUGAUUGGAGAAAUACUGUCAUUGUGUUAAAUGUCAGCAUUUAGUGACUGAAUGCUUUUUUUCCCUCUUCAACCUUCAUUCCUCUUUCUCUUCUUAGCGUGUAAUAUUAUGAAGGUCGGUUCCUCAGAAGUUGCGGUUGGUUUGCAUGUUUUCCUGAAAUAAACGUAUAUGAUAAUUUG